AUGAGAAUGAGUGCUCCUGCUCCAGUUGCUAUAGGCACAAGAGGUACAAUUGGAUCUCUAGUAAGGAAGGAAAUUGAAUACUUCACCAAAAUCGAGUUAGACAAAUUAGGAAAAUCACAAAAGUCUCAUUCACACUUUGUGAACAUGGUUUCUAGCAGUUUCAGGAUGUUGUUAAAGACGAAGAAGCAAAGAGCAAAAACAUGUUGUGUUAUACAAGUAACAGAAAACGUUAAUUUCAAUAGAAUUCCUGGUUACAAUUACAGGAUCCUCAAAGAUCAUGACAUCAACUGA